AUUGAACGCUGGCGGCAGGCCUAACACAUGCAAGUCGAACGAGUGGCGGACGGGUGAGUAAUGUCUGGGAAACUGCCCGAUGGAGGGGGAUAACUACUGGAAACGGUAGCUAAUACCGCAUACCAUCGGAUGUGCCCAGAUGGGAUUAGCUAGUAGGUGGGGUAACGGCUCCCCUAGGCGACGAUCCCUAGCUGGUCUGAGAGGAUGCCGAGCCACAGUGGAACUGAGACACGGGCCAGACUCCUACGGGAGGAAGCAGGGGGGAAGAUGGCACAAUGGGCGGAAGCCUAAUGCAGCCAUGCCGGGUGUAUGAAGAAGGCCUUCGGGUUGUAAAGUACUUUCAGCGAGGAGGCGUUACUCGCAGAAGAAGCACCGGCUAACGCCGUGCCAGCAGCCGCGGUAUUC
rnacentral:rRNA from 1 species